AGUGGCGGACGGGUGAGUAAUGCAUAGGAAUCUGCCUUUUAGUGGGGGAUAACGUGGGGAAACUCACGCUAAUACCGCAUACGUCCUACGGGAGAAAGCGGGGGCUCUUCGGACCUCGCGCUAUAAGAUGAGCCUAUGUUGGAUUAGCUAGUUGGUGGGGUAAAGGCCUACCAAGGCGACGAUCCAUAGCUGGUCUGAGAGGAUGAUCAGCCACACUGGGACUGAGACACGGCCCAGACUCCUACGGGAGGCAGCAGUGGGGAAUAUUGGACAAUGGGCGAAAGCCUGAUCCAGCAAUACCGCGUGUGUGAAGAAGGCCUGAGGGUUGUAAAGCACUUUCAAUGGGAAGGAAUACCUACCGGCUAAUACCCUGUAGACUGACAUUACCCAUACAAGAAGCACCGGCUAACUCCGUGCCAGCAGCCGCGGUAAUACGGAGGGUGCGAGCGUUAAUCGGAAUUACUGGGCGUAAAGCGUGCGUAGGCGGUUCGUUAAGUCAGAUGUGAAAGCCCUGGGCUCAACCUGGGAACUGCAUUUGAUACUGGCGGACUAGAGUUGAGUAGAGGAGAGUGGAAUUUCAGGUGUAGCGGUGAAAUGCGUAGAGAUCUGAAGGAACACCAGUGGCGAAGGCGGCUCUCUGGACUCAAACUGACGCUGAGGUACGAAAGCGUGGUAGCAAACAGGAUUAGAUACCCUGGUAGUCCACGCCGUAAACGAUGUCAACUAACCGUUGGGUUCUUAAAGAACUUAGUGGUGGAGCUAACGUAUUAAGUUGACCGCCUGGGGAGUACGGCCGCAAGGCUAAAACUCAAUGAAUUGACGGGGGCCCGCACAAGCGGUGGAGCAUGUGGUUUAAUUCGAUGCAACGCGAGAACCUUACCUACCCUUGACAU
rnacentral:rRNA from 1 species